GAUGAAGAACGCAGCAAAAUGCGAUAAGUAAUGUGAAUUGCAGAAUUCAGUGAAUUAUCGAAUCUUUGAACGCACAUUGCGCCCGCCAGUAUUCUGGCGGGCAUGCCUGUUCGAGCGUCAUUUCAACCAUCAAGCCCCAGGCUUGUGUUGGGGACCUGCGGCUGCCGCAGGCCCUGAAAACCAGUGGCGGGCUCGCUGUCACACCGGGCGUAGUAGAUUUUAUCUCGCUCAGGGCGUGCUGCGGGUUCCGGCCGUUAAAAAGCCUUUUUUACCCAAGGUUGACCUCGGAUCAGGUAGGAAGACCCGCUGAACUUAAGCAUAUCAAUAAGCGGAGGA
rnacentral:misc_RNA from 1 species